rnacentral:RNase_P_RNA from 1 species
GGUAAGGGUGAAAAGGUGCGGUAAGAGCGCACCGCGCGGCUGGUAACAGGCGUGGCGAUGGUAAACCCCACUCGGAGCAAGACCAAAUAGGAAUCCGUAUGCUGCGGCCCGCAGUGGAUUCGGGUAGGUCGCUACAGGCCGGCGGCGACGCCGGUCGCAGAUGAAUGAUCGUCCUCGACAGAACCCGGCUUAUCGACCGACUCACUUU